rnacentral:rRNA from 1 species
AUUGAACGCUGGCGGCAGGCUUAACACAUGCAAGUCGAGCGGGGGUUGGGUGCUUGCACCUAAUCCUAGCGGCGGACGGGUGAGUAAUGCUUAGGAAUCUGCCAUUUAGUGGGGGACAACAUUCCGAAAGGAAUGCUAAUACCGCAUACGCCCUACGGGGGAAAGCAGGGGAUCUUCGGACCUUGCGCUAAAUGAUGAGCCUAAGUUGGAUUAGCUAGUUGGUGGGGUAAAGGCCUACCAAGGCGACGAUCUGUAGCGGGUCUGAGAGGAUGAUCCGCCACACUGGGACUGAGACACGGCCCAGACUCCUACGGGAGGCAGCAGUGGGGAAUAUUGGACAAUGGGCGGAAGCCUGAUCCAGCCAUGCCGCGUGUGUGAAGAAGGCCUUUUGGUUGUAAAGCACUUUAAGCGAGGAGGAGGCUAUCUGGAUUAAUACUCUGGGAUAGUGGACAUUACUCGCAGAAUAAGCACCGGCUAACUCUGUGCCAGCCGCCGCAGUAAUAC